GGAUCGGCUCGAAGUUCCAACGACGAGAUCUUCCGAGCAGGGGACGGUGCCCGGGGAAGACGGAGGCGAGACUUUCCGUGACGCUCUGAAGGAGGAAGGGACUCGUGCGUGGGGAGCGGACCGGGGAGGCGAAUGUGCUCGCUUUCCUCCAAAAAUGAAGGCUAUGUGGGUGAACCUGGAGCUGACUCUCACGCCAGAGAUGCUCAGUGGAACAAGCCACUCCUUUUGCUGCACCGUUCGGCCACAGGGUGACACCAUCCGUUCACGCUAAGGUUUAAACUGCGUCAAGAUCCUAGAAAGCCUCGCUCCAGGCAGAAAACGCACAUCCAACGGAUCUGAGGAAACACGCCUUUCGUCCUGAAGAAAAUGCUCACUCCAAGGGAAAAGAGAAAAUGGUAACGGCACUGCUGUGGACGACUCUCUUUCCAUCCUCUUCCAAAGAACUGCUUUGGAGGCUUUAUCCCUUUGGAGGAUCAGAGAGCCAUCCCGCCAGAUAAUUCACGUCUUUGGAAACGGUUCAUCCCAUCCCUUGGUAUUCAGCCCACACCGGAGGGAAGAGGAAUAUUAAUGGAACACUAGCAGUCAGAAGACGAACACUUCCUUGUCUGAGAGCAGAAACACCCCACGGGAAACAGCUAGUGAUGGGUGCACACUGUGUUUCAUUAGUGCUUUCUCCGUGUGGCAUGACUCAAGACGUCUAAUUGAGGCGCACAUUAAAAAUAACCUCAGCCGUCCAAAGAGGAGAAACCGUGUUUCCGCUCGGUGGGAAAAAACGAACGACCCUGUUUAUUCUUCCUGCCCCGUAGUGUGAACUGAAAAUCACCCCUGGAGAGAUGUGAAUUCCUCUCUGGGAAGGGCAUCCUGACUUUCCCGCUUCCCCGUCACCGCACUCUCACAGCCGCCGCCCCCCUCGAUGAAAAUGGCGAGGCCCACGGUGAAAAAUAAAAUCGAGCAGGCCAUCCGCUCCAGGUUGAGGGAGCUGCUCUCUCGAU